GACAGAGGAUGCAAGCGUUAUCCGGAAUGAUUGGGCGUAAAGCGUCUGUAGGUGGCUUUUUAAGUCCGCCGUCAAAUCCCAGGGCUCAACCCUGGACAGGCGGUGGAAACUACCAAGCUGGAGUACGGUAGGGGCAGAGGGAAUUUCCGGUGGAGCGGUGAAAUGCGUAGAGAUGUGGAGGAACACCGAUGGCGAAGGCAGCCCCCCUGGGUCAAGAUUGACGCUCAUGCACGAAAGCGUGGGGAGCAAACAGG
rnacentral:rRNA from 1 species